rnacentral:rRNA from 1 species
AUUGAACGCUGGCGGCAGGCCUAACACAUGCAAGUCGAGCGGAUGAAGGGAGCUUGCUCCUGGAUUCAGCGGCGGACGGGUGAGUAAUGCCUAGGAAUCUGCCUGGUAGUGGGGGAUAACGUCCGGAAACGGGCGCUAAUACCGCAUACGUCCUGAGGGAGAAAGUGGGGGAUUUUCGGACCUCACGCUAUCAGAUGAGCCUAGGUCGGAUUAGCUAGUUGGUGGGGUAAAGGCCUACCAAGGCGACGAUCCGUAACUGGUCUGAGAGGAUGAUCAGUCACACUGGAACUGAGACACGGUCCAGACUUCUACGGGAGGCAGCAGUGGGGAAUAUUGGACAAUGGGCGAAAGCCUGAUCCAGCCAUGCCGCGUGUGUGAAGAAGGUCUUCGGAUUGUAAAGCACUUUAAGUUGGGAGGAAGGGCAGUAAGUUAAUACCUUGCUGUUUUGACGUUACCAACAGAAUAAGCACCGGCUAACUUCGUG